AGGUUUCUCAUUUUCAAGGGAUAGUGUCAACUCGGAAGAGUUUCGAGAUGAUUGGAUUGGAACCGUAAUGAUGUCUUGGCAUGGAUCAGCGGGUGUUGGAUCGAAGUAUUCCGGUUGAACGAGGCCAGGGUAUGCGGAAUGAUUCGUGUCUCUGGGAAAAACCCGGUUAAAUACGGCGUUAUGAGUAACGUGAAUGCCUUAAAUUAUCAGAUUGUAGAAGAAAAUAUUGCGGGUAAAGCUAAGGAGUCGGAUGGAUUUUUAGCGUGCGUCAUCCUUUGUGUUAGAUUUUAUAUCCGUAUUCUUGCGAAAGACAAAUUCGGAUCCUAUUACCAAACGUUAAGGAACUACCGUGUGGAAAGCUCGUCACGCAAUCUACAUAUCCUACUUAUUUGUUACUUUGCUGCAUUCAACAAACUGGGACGAGUAAGUCUUCUUAUUGAAAAAGUUUGGCUCAAUGAUACAAUUGUUUUUAAUGGUUCAAAAGUGCUUUAAUUUGGCAGAUUUCUUCAUUUGAGGCAACUUUAACAAUUCAUUCUUCUUCUCGCCAACAAGCUACAAUGUGCCAGAGUCAAUUCAAAUCGUAGAGGAAGUGGUUGUGAUCCAGGUAACGUAACGAGUAAUUCGGGUGUACACACCUGCAAAUCGAGGAUCAGCACAGCCCUUGCCGAAGCUGGUGAUACCAAUUUGAAC